rnacentral:rRNA from 1 species
GUUAGGAAUAUUGGACAAUGGGCGAAAGCCUGAUCCAGCCAUGCCGCGUGUGUGAAGAAGGUCUUCGGAUUGUAAAGCACUUUAAGUUGGGAGGAAGGGCAGUAAGUUAAUACCUUGCUGUUUUGACGUUACCAACAGAAUAAGCACCGGCUAACUUCGUGCCAGCAGCCGCGGUAAUACGAAGGGUGCAAGCGUUAAUCGGAAUUACUGGGCGUAAAGCGCGCGUAGGUGGUUUUGUAAGUUGGAGGUGAAAUCCCCGGGCUCAACCUGGGAACUGCCUCCAAAACUGCAUGACUAGAGUACGGUAGAGGGUAGUGGAAUUUCCUGUGUAGCGGUGAAAUGCGUAGAUAUAGGAAGGAACACCAGUGGCGAAGGCGACUACCUGGACUGAUACUGACACUGAGGUGCGAAAGCGUGGGGAGCAAACAGGAUUAGAUACCCCAGUAGUCC